AGCCUCAGCAUUUCAGUUGCCUUUCAUGACCCCAUCUGAACUGCAAAAUUAAACAGCCAGGCCCAGUUAGUGCUUGGAUGGGAGAGACCACCUGGGAAGAACAGGUGCUGCAGGCUA
rnacentral:rRNA from 1 species